AAAGCUAUCCCUCAUUUGAGGUCUUAGUUUUUUACUGAGUGAGCUGAGAUCCUUCCUAUUUAUUGAUAAAUCAUGCUUGGAAAUUUGUACUUCAGUUUACUUUAUUUUGACUGUAUCAAUACCAGACUCACAAAGGUGUGGAAGAAGAAUUCUUUUUGGACAGAAGAGAAAAGAGCAAAAUGGCUGAGGGAGCUGAGAGCCAAAAGAAGUUUGGAGAUAAUAAGCAAGCAGUAAGCUGCCUUUGAUGAAUUCAAAUCACCAGAGAGUAUAUUCUAGAUGCUUGCCUUCUCUAAUAUGGGGUUGGAAGGGAAGGAGGGAAAAAGGCAACUCAGAACUGAAAAAAGUAACGAAAAGAAAGACUGUGGGUGAAUGAGAAACACAGUGGGACUGGAAAGAGACAAAAGUUGCCCCAGUCUUCACAAAAAGGAAAGCAGCAAGGUUGCUGUUCAGUGCCCAAGACCCAUCUAUGGGAACAAAGUACAGUUAUAUGGAAAUCAGCUUAAAAGGAAUUAGUGACCAAGCUGAGAAGAACAGAUAAGAAGACUAAUAUCUUGGGAGGAGAGAUGAUUCAUCCAAGUCCUAGGUCAAUACCCUGCUUGAAGGCAGAAGGAAGCUGAAGCUGAAACGUGGGAUGAAGAAGUCAGCCUUUGAAACUGUAGAAGGAAAUGGAGAUCAGAGAUAAAACACACAUUCAGAUACCAUCCAUCCCACUCCUUAUGUAUCUCUGCCCCAGGCUACCAUUUCCAGCCCCCAUCCCUCUACUAAAACUUCUCUAAGAGCUAAGAGCUAAGAGCCAUGGUGAGGAUUCCAGGGACUGUUGGGAAAUCCAGGAGACCUUGGGCAAAGGGUAGCUUCUCUUCCCUUCCCUUACACUACCCCUGCCCAGCUAUUGCUCUGAGACUGAGAUACCUGAACCACUCUGGUGGUAGCUUCUUUGGACUGGUGGUGACUGGGUUCUAGGGCCUUCCUCCCUCAGUUCCCAGUUGAUCAAUCACAGGUUACAAACCUCCACUUACCUCUUUAUUUUUUGCUUUUGGAGGACAUAGAGCAAGGAUAUGCUGAAUAACAAUAUCACUUUCAGCGUCAGGAGGAAAAUUAUAAAGAAUUGUCCAGAAAUUCCCCUUUUCCUGGAGGUUAAAAUGAGAAAAGGAACUAUUAUAAAGGAGGUGAGUAGUGGGUAAUUUGUGAGCAACUGAUAUCACAUAGUCUAGCUAUUUUCUUAUUCUGAGACCAAUUGCAUCUAGCUAAGAGUCUGGAGUCUCAGCUAAUCUUCUUUCAUGGGAGCCUCCUACAGUCAUCCUUAGAUCAACAUCAAUAAUAAAUGGAUCAAAAACCAUUUAUUAAAACACUGUUAUUAAUGCACUGUGCUAAGUGCUAAGGUCCAGAGCAUGGGCACAUAUUACAGGGAAUGACUGACCUCACCCCAUUAUUUAUGUGAUCUUACUGGAUAAAAUCUUGUUCUUGGAAGGAGAUGAGGCUAUUAUUGUUUAAAUCCAAAGACCAAAAGAAGAUCCCUUCUUUGUUACUUACUAUCAAGACUUCUUUAGGAAAGUCACCCAUCCUCCCUUGGCCUAAUUUUUGCCAUCUCUGUGACAUCUGAGGGCACAUUCCAAUUCACAUGGGUUGUCUCAUAACAAGCUACCUGAUGAGCCUUACUAUAUUUGUUUUUACUGGACAGAGACCAUAAUUAAUCAAAUUUUAAAAAAAGACAUUUAAUGAAAUAGUAUAGUGAAAAAAAGUAGCAAUUUUUCUCCCUUAAUCCUGGGGUCUAUUCUCCCAUAGAUACGCAUACCAUCAGUGAAAAGAGUAGAUACCCCAAAGGAACAAGAAUGAUUCGAUCAUACUCAUAAAGAGCACAGAAAUGCAAAAUUUUUGACUAACACAUAUGUGUAGAUGGGCACACACAUAGUAUAAUUGAACGAAUAAGAGAUGUUGAAUCAGUAAAGACACAGAAGUGACUUCCUCUAGAUGGAGGAGAGGUUAGUAUGAGAAGUCAGCUAUCAUACCCAGGGUCAUUUGUACUGUAGAGAAUAUCGUUAGUCUUUGACCCCCUCCACCUUCCAUACAGACAUUUAAAAAAUGGUAAUUUCUUCAGAGGUAAUUUUCCCUCAAUGUAGAUUUCUGGAUGAUUGCCACUGAAUAUGUCUCUAAUGACAAGAUGCCUAUUCACUGCCACAAAGCCUCUUCAUAUCAUUGACAUGGUUCUUUAAGUUCAAAGCCACAUGGAUCCUAAUCUGGUACCCUAUCCAUUGUACCACACUGCCCCUUUGGGACUAAGAAUUAGGAAAUUAGGACCACAGCCAUGUUACUUAUUUCCUCAGCAAACCCGAACAAAUCAUUUCCCCUUUGGCUUCAGUUUUCCUAAUUGUAAAAU